rnacentral:tRNA from 1 species
GGAUGGGUGUCUGAGUGGUUUAAAGAAUCGGUCUUGAAAAUCGGCGUAUUUAAAAAAAUACCGGGGGUUCGAAUCCCUCCCCAUCCG